CCAGCCAUAAACCUUGAUAGUAAACAACCAACUAUCCGCCAGAGAACUACCAGCAAAAAGCUCAAAACUCAAAAGACUUGACGGUGUCCCAAACCAACCUAGAGGAGCCUGUCCUAUAAUCGAUAAUCCACGAUCCACCCAACCUGCCCUAGCACUAACAGCCUAUAUACCGCCGUCUCCAGCCUACCUAGUGAUAGACACCCAAUAGGCACAACAGCCUCACACUAAAACGUCAGGUCAAGGUGUAGCUAACGGACAGGAAGAGAUGGGCUACAUUUUCUACCCACAAGAAAAAACCACACCCACUAUGAAAAAGUGCAACAAGGCGGAUUUAGCAGUAAGCCUGACAAGCAAAGUCAGACUGAAGCACAGCUCUGGGACGC
rnacentral:rRNA from 1 species